GGGUGCCCAAGGUCGAAAAGCGCUCGAGGGUAGAGGUCGCGCCACCUGCCCUCGUCACCAGGAGUGGGCCGGGCUUUGGGGAACUCGUUUGGCCCGUGGGGUUUGUGGGUUCUGAGCGUCUGGACCGAAUUGGUUGGACUUGAAACUUUGAACUUGUCAGGGGUGACGCAACCAGCACCUAAAGAGGGAAAAUUUCUCUGCCCUACAAUGCUGUGAAGAAGUUACCACACUGGGCUCCGGACGCGCAGGCUCAGCGGCCAUGGCUCACGGG